CCUACGGGAGGCAGCAGUGGGGAAUUUUGGACAAUGGGGGCAACCCUGAUCCAGCCAUUCCGCGUGAGUGAAGAAGGCCUUCGGGUUGUAAAGCUCUUUCGCAAGGGAAGAAAACUUAUGAUCGAAUAAAUCAUGAGGUUGACGGUACCUUGAUAAGAAGCACCGGCUAACUACGUGCCAGCAGCCGCGGUAAUACGUAGGGUGCGAGCGUUAAUCGGAAUUACUGGGCGUAAAGCGUGCGCAGGCGGUUUUGUAAGUCGGAUGUGAAAUCCCCGGGCUCAACCUGGGAACUGCGUUCGAAACUGCAAGGCUAGAGUGUGUCAGAGGGGGGUAGAAUUCCACGUGUAGCAGUGAAAUGCGUAGAGAUGUGGAGGAAUACCAAUGGCGAAGGCAGCCCCCUGGGAUAACACUGACGCUCAUGCACGAAAGCGUGGGGAGCAAACAGGAUUAGAUACCCUGGUAGUCCACGCCCUAAACGAUGUCAACUAGUUGUUGGUAGAGUAAAAUCUAUGAGUAACGUAGCUAACGCGUGAAGUUGACCGCCUGGGGAGUACGGUCGCAAGNUUAAAACUUAAGGAAUUGACGGNNGAGAGNGCGAGACGACGACGAGGGAGAGG
rnacentral:rRNA from 1 species